GACGAACGCCGGCGGCGUGCCUAAUACAUGCAAGUAGAACGCUGAAGGAGGAGCUUGCUUCUCUGGAUGAGUUGCGAACGGGUGAGUAACGCGUAGGUAACCUGCCUGGUAGCGGGGGAUAACUAUUAGAAACGAUAGCUAAUACCGCAUAACAGUAGAUGUUGCAUGACAUUUGCUUAAAAGGUGCAAUUGCAUCACUACCAGAUGGACCUGCGUUGUAUUAGCUAGUUGCUGGGGUAACGGCUCACCAAGGCGACGAUACAUAGCCGACCUGAGAGGGUGAUCGGCCACACUGGGACUGAGACACGGCCCAGACUCCUACGGGAGGCAGCAGUAGGGAAUCUUCGGCAAUGGACGGAAGUCUGACCGAGCAACGCCGCGUGAGUGAAGAAGGUUUUCGGAUCGUAAAGCUCUGUUGUAAGAGAAGAAACGAGUGUGAGAAGUGGAAAAGUUCA
rnacentral:rRNA from 1 species